GCCUUCGUGGUGUAGUGGUCUGGAUGCUCGACGCGUAACCGAGAGGUCCGUGGUUCGAUUCCAGGCGAAGGCG
rnacentral:tRNA from 1 species